GGCAACAAAGUCGAGCUGGCUAUUUCCUGCCGAGGAGGGGCAUUGUCCCUAUGCCAGGUUCCGAAGAGGUUCCGUGGACACCGGAGUGUAGGGAUGGAGUAGCGUCUGGUUGAAGGCCACUUGAGAGACCGCCCUCAUACGCAAUAAUUUCAAACUCUUGUGCUGGAUGUAGAUUUUUCCUACAAGAACGUAAUUAAAUACUGAAAAAAGCUUGGCAGCAAAAUAAUCUGCAGAAUGGACACAAAUGAUUAAUUUAUAUAAUUCCAAUAGAACAAGCAUCUGCAAUGCAGUAAACAGAUUGAUCUAAGGAAACAAAACAAAAAGGAAAGGAGAUGGAAAGACCUAUGGAACUGUGCCUCUCUAUUUAGCAA